GUUGCAGUGAGCUGAGAUUGUGCCACUGCGCUCCAGCCUGGGCAACAGAGCGAGACUCUCUCUCCAAAAAAAAGAAAAAAGAAAAAAAAAUCUAUUGGAGCUUAGGACAUCCUAUUUUACUGUUUGAUAAUGCAGUUUAUGGAAAUCUUUCUUCGAAUAACCCUUCUGUAGCCAAGCCAUGCUAUUUCCAUACAUCUUCAGUGGUCAAAGCUGCAGUUAUUCCAAAAUGAAUAUAAAGUUGUUUAAUGUCCCUGAGAAUUUAGUGGCUUUUGUUUAAUGUGGCACUUUUACAGUAAGCACAGGUUUUUGUUUUUUUUUUUUGAGAGAGUCUUACACUGUGGCCCAAGCUGGAGUGCAGUGGUGUGAUCUUGGCUCACUGUGUGUGAUCACACAGUGGUGUGAUCUUGGCUCACUACAACCUCUGCCUCUCAGAUUCAAGUGAUUCUCCUGCCUCAGCCUCCCAAGUAGCUGGGAUUACAGGCGCCCACCACCAUGCCCGGCUAUUUUUUUGUAUUUUUAGUAGAGACAGGGUUUCUCCACGUUGGCCAGGCUGGUUUUGAACUCCUGACCUCAACUGAUCUGCCUGCCUCGGCCUCCCAAAAUGGUAGGAUUACAGGUGUGAGCCACUGUGCCCAGCCAGGCAAAGGUUUUUAAAGUCUUGCAAGAUCUACAUGAUUCCUACCCUAUCUCCUUUCCAGCCCUUCCCCAUACUGAUACAAGUUAUAGCUUUAAAAAAAAUAAUUGCCACUCUCCUGCUUAAAAUCCUUUGGGUAGUGAUAAAAUCUAAGCAAAAUGCUGGCAUAUAAGAGCCCUCACAAUCUGGGCUCACUCUACCUUCCCAGACUUGACUUCUGCUUACACUGUGCAUCCUACUUUCUGCCACACUUGUUCCUCUGGAUUAGCCAGGCCCUUCUGCAGUCUGCCUUUGCUUAAGGUGUUUGUUUGUCUUUCUCUGGCCUAACUCCCAGUCAUGGGUAAACAACUGAAAUGUCACCUUGGUAUAACUCUCUCCUGUUUCCCCUCAAAGCAGACAGUUGAUGUGCCCUAUGGUCCUGGUCAUAGAUUCCUACUUGUAUAACAGCACUACUAUCUUGGACUCUGUCUGCUUAUGUGCUCCAGGAGGGCAGGGGUCCUCGCCUGACUCACUGAAUGCCUUAUCUAAAGUGCCAGGCACAGUGUACCUAUUCAUCUGGUGGAUGGAUAAAGACAGGGACUGUCUUGGUUCUUCCUGUGUAGCCUUAGUAACUUGUACCUUUCCUGACAUGGCAGGGGCUCCAAAACAUCUGUUGCAAACAAUGUAUAUCUAAAAGACCUCUAUAAAAAUAAUUAGAAUGUAAAACUGUUAACAGAAUGGAGGUUGAGAAAAUGACUUUGCAAGUAGCAAUUAACUUGCCAACUCAUAAUUAGCAGUAGAUUAGAGGAUUGUGUAUUUUUUAAAUGUGGUUUAAAUCUUUUCAGCUUGCAGAUGCUAGAUUUUCCUAAGCUCUGCAACUAACUGAAGAACAAGUAUUGAUGAAGCCUUCACAGUUCUUUUUUUUU
rnacentral:lncRNA from 10 species